rnacentral:rRNA from 1 species
UACGGGGGGGGCAAGCGUUGUUCGGAAUUACUGGGCGUAAAGGGCGCGUAGGCGGCCCGCUAAGUCGAACGUGAAAUCCCCAGGCUCAACCUGGGAACUGCGUCCGAUACUGGCAGGCUUGAAUCCGGGAGAGGGAUGUGGAAUUCCAGGUGUAGCGGUGAAAUGCGUAGAUAUUAGGAAGAACACCGGUGGCGAAGGCGGCCAACUGGAUCGGUACUGACGCUGAGGUGCGAAAGCGUGGGGAGCAAACAGG